rnacentral:rRNA from 1 species
UACGAAGGGGGCUAGCGUUGCUCGGAAUCACUGGGCGUAAAGGGUGCGUAGGCGGGUCUUUAAGUCAGGGGUGAAAUCCUGGAGCUCAACUCCAGAACUGCCUUCGAUACUGGAGAUCUUGAGACCGGAAGAGGUAAGUGGAACUGCGAGUGUAGAGGUGAAAUUCGUAGAUAUUCGCAAGAACACCAGUGGCGAAGGCGGCAUCCUGGACCAACACUGACACUGAGGAGCGAAAGCCAGGGGAGCAAACGGG